AAAGUCGUAACAAGGUUUCCGUAGGUGAACCUGCGGAAGGAUCAUUACCAAUCCAACCUUAUCAACCACUGUGCACUUGGUAUGUCCUUGGGAGGAAGGUAGGCGAUUUUCAAUGUUAACUCCUUGAAACCCUCGCCGAGAGCCUCCCAAACGUUUUAAACCACUUUUAAACACUUUUGUUGACAAACUUUCCUGUGGCCUCAGUGUCCAGGGAUUUAUUAACAAAAUACAACUUUUAACGGUGGAUCUCUUGGCUCAU
rnacentral:misc_RNA from 1 species